CAUCUACUCCCUCCGUCCCAAAAUUCUUGUCUUAGAUUUGUCUAGAUACGGAUGUAUCUAGACAAAUCUAAGACAAGAAUUUUGGGACGGAGGGAGUACUUA
rnacentral:pre_miRNA from 1 species